AACGUUGAAAACGACAACCCACAAACAAAUGUCGUGAAAGAAAAUACCGACAGCGCAUGCCUUUUAUCUUGAAUAUUCUCAGACUUAAAUAAUCAAAUUGCGAAACAA
rnacentral:lncRNA from 1 species